rnacentral:rRNA from 1 species
UACGGAGGGUGCAAGCGUUGUCCGGAUUUAUUGGGUUUAAAGGGUGCGUAGGCGGCCCUGUAAGUCAGUGGUGAAAUGCGGCAGCUUAACUGUCGAACUGCCAUUGAUACUGCAGGGCUUGAGUACAGACGAGGUAGGCGGAAUUUAUGGUGUAGCGGUGAAAUGCAUAGAUACCAGAAAGAACACCUAUUGCGAAGGCAGCUUACUAGGCUGUAACUGACGCUGAGGCACGAAAGCGUGGGGAGCGAACAGG